CAGGAGGUAAAGAAAUAGCCAAUCAUCUAUUGCCUGAGAGCAAAGCGGGAGGGACAAUGAUCGGGAUAGAAACCCAGGCAUUCAAGCCGGAAUGGCUACCCUCUUUGGGUCCCCUCCCUUUGUAUGGGAGCUCUGUUUUCACUCUAUUCAAUCUUGCAACUGCACUCUUCUGGUCCGUGUUUGUUACAGCUUGAGCUGAGCUUUCGCUCGCCUUCCACCACUGCUGUUUGCCGCCAUCGCAGACCUGCCGUGCUGACUUCCAUCCCUCUAGAUCUGGCAGGGUGUCCGCUGUGCUCUUGAUCCAGCGAGGCGCCCAUUGCCGCUCCCGAUUGGGCUAAAGGCUUGCAAUUGUUCCUGCACGCUAAGUGCCUGGGUUCAUCCUCAUCAAGCUGGGUUCCACGGUUCUCUUCAUGACCCGCAGCUUCUAACAGAGCUAUAAAACUCUGUGCAUGGCCCAAGAUUCCAUUCCUUGGAAUCUGUGAGGCCAAGAACCCCAGGUCAGAGAACAGGAGGCUUGCCACCAUCUUGGAAGUGGCUCGCCACCAUCUUAGGAGCUCUGUGAGCGGAGACCCCCACCCCCCGGUAACAUUUUGGCGACCACGAAGGGACCUCCAAAGCGAGCUAGGGAGAUACCUGUGCCAACUCUGGCUUUGUUUGCUCUGCCAGACAAUCCUGAUGCUGCAAAGUCAAAUCAUCGUGAAGGAAGUUUGUGCAAAUGUGGGAAACAGGACUAUAAUCCUGCUUGAAGUUUGCUUAGAUUCCUGGGAAGUCUCCCUAUUCCAACCCUUUUUGAGAAAUGCCCACAGCUCAUAACCUACCUGAGGUUAUUUGGGUCUCAGGAAACACACAGCAUGUGCCAAUGUUCCAAGAAUGAAGCUCUGGUUCCCAGCUUCUGCUGCUCCAACUUCUAUAGCAGCAAGGAGAAAAGAGUAACAGACAUACUGAUCACAUCUAAUUAGAAGGAGGUUGUGUUCUGCUAAAGUCAAGAAGAAAACCAAGAAACAGGAAACCAUGAGAUGUAGCAGAAGAGGGAGGCAAAGUAAAAUCCUAGGAAGAUGCAACAAAAGUAUCAAGACCACAGCAAGCCUAGAUCAACCAGUCCAAGUCUGAAGGCCUGAGGACCAGGAGCACUGAUGAUACUGAGAAAACGUGGUCCUUUUGUCGGUAAAAGAGUUUGGUAUAACAACAUCAAUGCAUGCGGGAAUUGUUCCUUUCUGCCUAAAGUACAGUUUUGGAUGAAGAAAAAAAGAUGAAGCUGUUUUCCAGAGACCAGCACUUCAUCCCUGAGAAAAUGUCAAGAUUAUAGGCAUGCUCUAUAGAAGAUAAUGAGUUAAUACCGAAUGGCUAAAUCAGGGGAGUAUUUGAUUGGGGUUCCCAGAAACCAACAAGAUGUGGAUUCAUAUUCAAAUGCUUCCAGGAGAAUCAAGUAAGGAAGUUAAGAAAGAGAAAGAAAGGAAACAAAGGCUUCUCUGAAGACAUGUCAUUUUACCCAAGACCUGAAAGAUGAGGAUGGUCAAGCCCUAUCACAAAACAAGUGAAGAUGUCCAGGCAAGUAUUCCAAAAUGAAUAAAGAACCUAGAGUGAACAUCAUACAUUCAGGAUCCUCCUCAAGAAAGAAAAUAUGACUGAAACCAUUGAUGGCCUCAACAUAUUCUUCUACAAUUGAUUUGUUCAUUAUCUUUUAAUGGACAUUUUGCUCUGAGUGAGAAAGAGAGAGAGGCCGGGAGGGGGGAAGGGCACAGAAUUGUAUAGGGUAUGCACAUUUACAAUUUUAUUUGAUUCACCAACUUGCUCUCAAACAGGGUUGAACCAAUUGUUGCUCUCAAGCAUGCAUAAGAUAUUCUGUUACUCUUUGCAAUCAGCCACAUUUACAGUAGUGUAUAGUAGUGCAUGUGCCGGUGUAGUGUGUGUGUGAGCGCAUGGGAGCGAGCGAGCGAGCGAGAGAGACAGAGAGAGAGAGGGAGGGGGGAGAAGUAGAGAGAGAGAGUUUUAAUUUGGCCAUUUUUAUGGAGAGAGAGAGAGAGGGAGGGAGGGAGAGGGGAGAAGUAGAGAGAGAAUUUUAAUUGGGCCAAGUUUAUGGAGGUAUGAAAUGAUUAUUUUUUUCUUAUGGUUUUUAGUUACAUGUCUCUUAUUACUGCUGAAGUUAGCACACUUUCAGAUAAACAUGCAGAAACACACCCACCAUUUGGAUGUCUUCCCUAGGAAUUGCCUGUACAUAAACCUUGACCUCUCUGCUUGGAUAGCUGACUUUUUAUCUUGUUGAUUCAUAGGAGUUAUUUACAUACUUUGGAUAAGAAUUCUUGCAGAUUAUGUUAUUUUUCCCAGAGCUUGGUUUUUUAUUUUCACAUACAUACUGCCUGUUUUAAUGAGAAGAAAUUUUAAAAGUAUCUACUUUUUAUCCUUAUCUUUCCUGUUUUAGCUAUUUAUAUCUUGUUUAAUAAACAUUUCUUUUCCCUGAGGCAACAGAGACAUUCAGACACAUUUAAAAAUUUUUACAUUUUCAGUAUUCACUUUUAGGUCCAACGUACCUUGAAUUCAUUUGUGUGUGUGUGUGUGUGUGUGUGUGUGUGUAUCCUGUAGGUAUGGAUCUAACUUAAUUUAUCACAGGAAUAACUGUCCCAGCUCCAUUUAAUGGCUACUGUGCCCUUUUCUACUGACCUGGUGCCUCUGUCACAUGUUGAGUUUCCAACUGAUUCAGCACUCUGUAUUUCAGCUCUUCACUGUGUGGCCUUAGAUUUGUCGCCUGUGGAUUACUAUUUAAAUGUUCAUUGUUUUACCUUUAAAUAAAAUUUCUUUUAGAACAGGGUAAUUCCUUCUCUUUUUUGGCUCCUCCUUGCUCCUUCCACUUUCCUUCCCUCCUCCUCACACUUCUCUUUGUCUUAUGAAAUUAUCUUGCCAAUUUUUUGAACGUUUGCCCAUCCAGUCAAGUAACAAAGACUUAGAUACAUUCAUGGAGAAGUGACCUUGUUGAAAAUUGAGAAAUGGCUGCUUUCUCAAUUUCUGCAAGUCUUUAAAAGUGUCUUUCAAGAAUUAUAUAUCAUUUUUACCCUACAACUAAUAAAGAAAUGACAAUUUUAUUAUUAUUAUGGAUCCAGUAUAUCCUUAAUAAUUAUUUUUAGUAUAAAAUCUGUUUUAUUACAUCAAUAUAGUUUGAAUAUUUU
rnacentral:lncRNA from 10 species